CAACCGCUUGGCCUAGUUUUCAAGUCAGACUUUGGUCUUGAUGUCGUGUGACCAAAACUCUCUGUUAUGUGAACAGAAUUCUCAUUCCAACUGCAAACUUGAUCUUUUUCGACACACGAUCGAAUUUACACGAGGUUCCUUCUUCACAAAUAGUAAAUAUCACAGAAACAAGAGAGUAUGCUGAGAGGAUGCAGAACUUCACCAGGACAAAUUUUGAGCACUUGGUGAAAGUGAGGAACAGAUCCAUGUAUGUUGUAAGGAGCUGUAAAGAGCUCAGGGACAGAUAUGAUGAACGAGAAGGUAAGGACAAUGUGUUCACAUUUCAUUAACUUAACACAACAAUCCAAGGCAUUUAUGGCAUUUAUAUUUACCAUCAACAGUAUUGUUUCUCCUCCAACUCAGCAUGCUAUAUUACUUUCUGAUGAAGAUUGUAAUACUUCUCUCCAUCACUUUGUAAAUAAGGUGAAGGACCUGAGAUCCAAAAUCUCCUCAAGUGCCUCCCUGAAGAUACCCCUCGGUGUCAUGGGUCAUUUACUUCCUUUUCUUCAAUCACACUUAAUGACCAGCAUUGGUCCCACAUUGCUAUCCAUCAUCAACAGUUCACUGAGGCAAGGCAGUGUCCCAUCCUAUUUUAAACAUGCCGAGGUAACUCCUCUAUUAAAAAAACAGAAUCUAGAUCCUAGCUUAACUAGUAAUUACCGGCCAAUUUCAAAAUUGCCAUUUUUAAGCAAAUUACUGGAAAAAAUUGUAGAAAAUCAGUUCAGGUCCUUACUAUGCAGAUUACAGAUUGCUGACCCUU
ensembl:lncRNA